rnacentral:misc_RNA from 1 species
UCUCUGGCAUCUAUUUGGCAAUAAUUGUGCUUUCCCUUCUCACCAAAGGUGUGAUGAUGGGUGGCGAUUUAAGCCAUAUGUUCUUUUCCAUUGUGUUGCGUGCUUUUGCUCGGGACAUUAAUGCAAAUUGACUGUGUGCCUUGAAAUAAAUGUGGCAAGUUUGGAGUUGCCUUGGUGUCGUGUGUGCACCAUGCUCAUUAUUAGGCAUGUUCCCUCAAUCAUCGUGCAACAUUGCUCCUUUGCGUGACUCCGUCAAAAAGGUGGAGCAUGUGAGGGUUGCGUAUUGUUGUUUCAAUGUUGUGUUACCUGGUUGAUCCUGCCAGUAGUCAUAUGCUUG